UACGAAGGGGGCUAGCGUUGCUCGGAAUUACUGGGCGUAAAGGGCGCGUAGGCGGACUGUUUAGUCAGAGGUGAAAGCCCAGGGCUCAACCUUGGAAUUGCCUUUGAUACUGGCAGUCUUGAGUACGGGAGAGGUAUGUGGAACUCCGAGUGUAGAGGUGAAAUUCGUAGAUAUUCGGAAGAACACCAGUGGCGAAGGCGGCAUACUGGACCGUUACUGACGCUGAGGCGCGAAAGCGUGGGGAGCAAACAGG
rnacentral:rRNA from 1 species